UUCCCUGCCACCUGAAGGUUAUUACUAUGUUGUUGAUGGUGGUUAUCCAAAUGCACCCAGUUUUUUGGCACCAUACCGCGGGGAGCGCUAUCACUUGAAUGACUUUCGUGGGCAAGGGCGGAUAUGAAAUAAGCAAGCCCUAUUUAAU